rnacentral:rRNA from 1 species
UACGGAGGGUGCGAGCGUUGCUCGGAAUCACUGGGCGUAAAGCGUACGCAGGCCGUCUUGUAGGUCGGGCGUGAAAUCCCGGGGCUCAACCCCGGAACUGCGCCCGAGACUGCAGGACUUGAAUGCGGGAGAGGAAAGCGGAAUUCCUGGUGUAGAGGUGAAAUUCGUAGAUAUCAGGAGGAACACCUGUGGCGAAAGCGGCUUUCUGGCCCGACAUUGACGCUCAUGUACGAAAGCGCGGGGAGCAAACAGG